CCCUUAGAUGUUCUGGGCCGCACACGCGCUACACUGAAGGAGGCAGCGUGUACUCCUGGAUCGAAAGAUUUGGGUAACCCGCGAAUCUCCUUCGUGCUAGGGAUUGAGGUUUGCAAUUAUCCUUCAUGAACGAGGAAUUCCCAGUAAGUGCAAGUCAUAAGCUUGCGCUGACUACGUCCCUGCCCUUUGUACACACCGCCCGUCGCUACUACCGAUUGAGUGAUCCGGUGAGGCCUUUGGACCGAGACUGUGUUGGGGCAACCCGCGCUGUUUUGGAAAAUUGGUCAAACCUUAUCAUCUAGAGGAAGAAGAAGUCGUAACA
rnacentral:rRNA from 1 species